UACGUAGGGGGCAAGCGUUGUCCGGAUUCAUUGGGCGUAAAGAGCGUGUAGGCGGUUUGGUAGGUCCGCUGUGAAAACUCGAGCUCAACCUCGAGACGCCGGUGGAAACCAUCAGACUAGAGUCCGGAAGAGGAGAGUGGAAUUCCUGGUGUAGCGGUGAAAUGCGCAGAUAUCAGGAGGAACACCGGUGGUGUAGACGGCUCUCUGGACCGUAACUGACGCUGAGGCACGAAAGCGUGGGUAGCAAACAGG
rnacentral:rRNA from 1 species